GUUUCGUCUGGCUAGUGCCCAUGGUUUUUUCGUUCGCAAUGAAGGGUUUUCCACGUAUAUCUGUGCCGUGCUCUGUGAUUUGUUGGUUGAUCUACUUCGUUUUUUCUGCUGAUUCUGCUAACACAUCCUCUACACCAGGUCCUCCUACCACUGACUACCUCUCCUCCAGCGUCAUCGCCACCCACAUCCAUCUCCUCCAACCAUCGUCACCUACCCCUGUCGCCCCCCCUCCAGUUCGAGUCAUCCUCCAGCAGCCUCCAUCCUCUCCUCUGCUCUGCCCCCUCACCCCUCUGCCAUCCUCCAGCAGCCAGCGCUCAG
rnacentral:misc_RNA from 1 species